rnacentral:rRNA from 1 species
GACGAACCGUGCGAACGUUGUUCGGAAUCACUGGGCUUAAAGGGCGCGUAGGCGGGCAAGCAAGUCCGGGGUGAAAGCCCCCAGCUCAACUGGGGAAGUGCCUUGGAAACUGCUUGUCUUGAGGGAGGUAGGGGCCUGUGGAACUUCGGGUGGAGCGGUGAAAUGCGUUGAUAUCCGAAGGAACGCCGGUGGCGAAAGCGACGGGCUGGACCUCUUCUGACGCUGAGGCGCGAAAGGCUAGGGGAGCAAACGGG